AGUGAACGCUGGCGGUAGGCCUAACACAUGCAAGUCGAACGGCAGCACAGUAAGAGCUUGCUCUUACGGGUGGCGAGUGGCGGACGGGUGAGGAAUACAGCGGAAUCUACUUUUUCGUGGGGGAUAACGUAGGGAAACUUACGCUAAUACCGCAUACGACCUACGGGUGAAAGCAGGGGAUCUUCGGACCUUGCGCGAUUGAAUGAGCCGAUGGCGGAUUAGCUAGUUGGCGGGGUAAAGGCCCACCAAGGCGACGAUCCGUAGCUGGUCUGAGAGGAUGAUCAGCCACACUGGAACUGAGACACGGUCCAGACUCCUACGGGAGGCAGCAGUGGGGAAUAUUGGACAAUGGGCGCAAGCCUGAUCCAGCCAUACCGCGUGGGUGAAGAAGGCCUUCGGGUUGUAAAGCCCUUUUGUUGGGAAAGAAAAGCAGCAGGUUAAUACCCCGCUGUUCUGACGGUACCCAAAGAAUAAGCACCGGCUAACUUCGUG
rnacentral:rRNA from 1 species